GGUCCACUCUUUCAUGAUGCAGCCAGCAUGGACGUAGAGAAUGAAACUGUUGCUCAGUGCCUGCUGUUUAUCUUCAUCCAUGCCUCUUGAGAGCACACUUCCUCAGUCUCUCUUUAUCACCAUAGUAAGGUCGGCCCUUUGGUCUUAAGCAAAGUUCCCAUAUUCUGUGUUUUCAUCCUUUUUCACAACCCUCAGAGGUGUUCCAGUUCUGCAUGGGGAUAUAUAGCUCCUGAAAUUUGUGUCCUACAAUUUCAUAACUAGUUUUCUUUGCUGAAAUAUCUGGAAAGACUUUAAUACAUUGAACCAUUUAGACUCGGA